rnacentral:misc_RNA from 1 species
AACAAAUGUUGGUUUUGACACUAUAUGCAAGGUCAAUUCUCAGCUAAUCAGCAAUGUAUGCACUGAUGCCCUAUCUGCAGAGAAGUAUUACUAUUUCAUUCGACUCAUGGGCCGGAAAGCAUCCCAUGUUGCUUUGGAGUGCACUCUUCAAUCUCAUCCAAAUUUGGUUAUUCUUGGUGAGGAGGUGGCUGCAUCAAAGCUUACUCUUUUUG